GGGGGUACUCGAGCGGCGAACGGGUGAGUAACACGUGAGUAAUCUGCCUCUGGCUUCGGGAUAGCCACCGGAAACGGUGAUUAAUACCGGAUACGACACAUCACUGCAUGGUGCGUGUGUGGAAAGUUUUUUCGGCCAGGGAUGUGCUCGCGGCCUAUCAGCUUGUUGGUGGGGUAAUGGCCUACCAAGGCUUCGACGGGUAGCCGGCCUGAGAGGGUGACCGGCCACACUGGGACUGAGACACGGCCCAGACUCCUACGGGAGGCAGCAGUGGGGAAUAUUGGACAAUGGGCGGAAGCCUGAUCCAGCAACGCCGCGUGAGGGAUGACGGCCUUCGGGUUGUAAACCUCUUUCAGCACAGACGAAGCGCAAGUGACGGUAUGUGCAGAAGAAGGACCGGCCAACUACGUGCCAGCAGCCGCGGUAAUACGUAGGGUCCGAGCGUUGUCCGGAAUUAUUGGGCGUAAAGGGCUCGUAGGCGGUUUGUCGCGUCGGGAGUGAAAACACCGGGCUUAACUCGGUGCUUGCUUUCGAUACGGGCAGACUAGAGGCAUUCAGGGGAGAACGGAAUUCCUGGUGUAGCGGUGAAAUGCGCAGAUAUCAGGAGGAACACCGGUGGCGAAGGCGGUUCUCUGGGAAUGUCCUGACGCUGAG
rnacentral:rRNA from 1 species